ACACAGAGUCCAAAAACAGAAAAAGUCCCAGUAGGAUGUGACAGUUUUGCAAGUUUGUGCAUUCAGUUACAGGCUUGCAAGCCAAAGUUCAUGACCUGAGAGGUAUGCCUUACUAUUUUGCUGUAACUUAGGCUUAAUUUAUAGCUGCCUUAAUGUAGCCUAACCUAUAGUUAUAUUUACUUUCAGAAACAUAACUUUGUGAGAUUGUGGCCCAAACACUACAUUUGACCUGUAAAUGCUAAUUUUUAUUCUGUAUUGAGUGAUUUUAAUGUGUUUAUUGCCUCACUCUCUGCUAGCUAGUUUACAGCAAAAUAAUAAGCUAACACUAACACCAUGCUAACAUUAUGGUGCCGAUAUAAUCUUAAUUCUGUCCACCCUCAAUCUCAUUCAUUCUGGGGUUUAUACUGAUUAAUACAGUAGAUUUUAAAGAGGUUGUUUGAUCUGGUUCUGUGAGGCCAACAGUUUGAAGUGUGUGUGGUCCAGUGGGAUUUUCUAGCUAGCAGCUAGUUAGCUGUCGACUGUCUUGUGAUUGAACAACCUAACCAAUUUGAUUCACUGUAGUGGGUCCAAUAAAGCUGGUUGGUCAAAAGUUGAAUGUCCUGCUGCUCCUUCUUACAAAGCUCAGUGUACAAAACUGGAACACGCAAUAAACAUGUCAAAAAUAUGUUCACACAAUCCCGCGUAAAUCUUUGCCUCACAGGCAUAGCUCUAAUGGGGCUUUUUUCUGAUCUUUAUUCAAGAGCGUGGUCUUUCAAUUUGAGAGCAUAACUUAUUGAUUUCAUGUUCAGAUUUUGUAAUGCUUUCCCUCAAAACCUUGCCCUCGCACUCAAAUAGCUCCUGCUUGCACUUGGAUUUGCUCUGCUUCUGUUCAAACUCUAAGCUUGCACUCAGAUAUAUUGUUGCUUGCACAGAUUUCCUGCUACAGCUUCAGCCCUUCUCGCUCUCAGGCUGCUUCACUGCACACUUGAGACAUCUACUCUCAGAUUUCUGCUCUGCCCUCGGGUUUCCCAAAAUUCCCCAACCAAUAGAAUGCCAGGUGUAGUGUUGACCAAUGAAAUGAUCCCUGCCUCCUUGCAGGUGCGUUUGCCUAUUUCUUCGAGCAUUCCAUACGGUGAUUAUUCUUCAGUCUCCUCAGCUCUGCCUUAGCUUAGUGCGCAGUCUUAGGUGGUAGUGAGUCUGAGCGGUCGUGGUAUAGUGAGUUGGUCUGUUUUCGGUAGUUUUACAUUGCAUUUAUCAUCAUCAUGGUAAAUUAUUGCGUUUGUGCUGGUUGCACAAACUCCAACCUGUCAGGACAUCGGGUCCACUGUUUUCCUAACAGGAAAAGGAACGGAGCUAUCUUUCGUGCCUAGGUGCGUUUUGUGCAGGUGAAGAGACAGGACUUCACUUCAGCAUCUGUUACUUAAAACGCGGCCGUAUGUGGCGCUCAUUUUAGACUGGAGGAUUAUCAUCCCAGCAAUAUGAUGGAGUUCAGGAUGGGAUGCCGAUCCCAGGAGCGGCUACAAACCUGCUAUUGCUGUGUUAGAGGGGAAAACAAUAUCACCUUCAUGACUCAGGAGCGUGAAUGUAGCAGAUCGCUAGCCAACAUGGACUGCCAAAGUCAAGGACCUCAAGACAGGAACAUGACCUUGCCCUGUUAUCUACUCAAGAAAUGCUUUUGGAGAUGAUGAGGGAGGUGCAGCUUUCUCCAUCCCUG